UUGACAAGCUGGGUUUUGAUAGCAAGUCCAACUCCAUGGUUUCUAGCCUCAUCGGCUGGCUUUCCUUUUUUUCCUUCCUCUUCCAGCAGAAUGUG